GAAGGCUGAGCAUGGCUCAGCCUCACAAAGAGGCCUCCCAGUGAGCCAGGCCAAGGAGACGGAUCACCCCACCAGUGCUGGCCUUACGAGUGCCGAAGCCCUGAAGGAUGGCUUUGGAAAGGUCCGUGCUGCACUGGGCAAGUUGGCUCAAAGGAACUUAGAGCGGAAGCCAAUGGAGCUUUUGGAGAAAGAGAUCAAGACAGAGAGAGAAAAGGAAACGUCCUUGCAGCUGCCUCCACAGACAG